rnacentral:rRNA from 1 species
CCUACGGGAGGCAGCAGUGGGGAAUAUUGGGCAAUGGGCGCAAGCCUGACCCAGCAACGCCGCGUGAAGGAAGAAGGCUUUCGGGUUAUAAACUUCUUUUCUCAGGGACGAAGCAAGUGACGGUACCUGAGGAAUAAGCCACGGCUAACUACGUGCCAGCAGCCGCGGUAAUCCGUAGGUGGCAAGCGUUCUCCGUAUUUACUGGGUGGAAAGGGCGUGUAGGCGGGAAAACAAGUCAGAGGUGAAAACCAUGGGCUCAACCUGUGGCCUGCAUUUGAAAAUGUUUUGCUUGAGUACUGGAGAGGAAGACGGAAUUCCUAGUGUAGCGGUGAAAUGCGUAGAUAGUAGGAGGAACACCAGUGGCGAAGGCGGUCUGCUGGACAGCAACUGACGCUGAGGCGCGAAAGCGUGGGGAGCAAACAGGAUUAGAUACCCCUGUAGUC